AUACUUACCUGGCAGGGGAGAUACCAUGAUCACGAAGGUGGUUUUCCCAGGACGAGGCUUAUCCAUUGCACUCCGGAUGUGCUGACCCCUGCGAUUUCCCCAAAUGCGGGAAACUCGACUGCAUAAUUUGUGGUAGUGGGGGACUGCGUUCGCGCUCUCCCCUG
rnacentral:snRNA from 1 species